AUCCAGCUGACGAGUCCAAAAUAGGACGAAACACGAGUCCUGGAU
rnacentral:hammerhead_ribozyme from 1 species